rnacentral:rRNA from 1 species
AGCAGCCGCGGUAAUUCCAGCUCCAAUAGCGUAUAUUAAAGUUGUUGCAGUUAAAAAGCUCGUAGUUGAAUUUCGGGGUCAGUAAGUUGGUCGUGCCACUGGUAUGUACUGGCUUUACUGAUUCCUCCUUCUUGUAGAACCGUAAUGCCAUUAAGUUGGUGUUGCGGGAAAACAGGACUGUUACUUUGAAAAAAUUAAAGUGUUUAAAGCAAGCUAACGCUUGAAUACAUUAGCAUGGAAUAAUGAAAUAGGACGAACGAUCCUAUUUUGUUGGUUUCUAGGAUUGACGUAAUGAUUAAUAGGGAUAGUUGGGGGCAUUAGUAUUCAAUUGUCAGAGGUGAAAUUCUUGGAUUUAUUGAAGACUAACUACUGCGAAAGCAUUUGCCAAGGAUGUUUUCAUUAAUCAAGAACGAAAGUUAGGGGAUCGAAGGCGAUCAGAUACCGUCGUAGUCUUAACCAUAAACUAUGCCGACUAGGGAUCGGAUGAUGUUAAUUUUUUAAUGACUCAUUCGGCGCCUUA